UACGUAGGUGGCAAGCGUUAUCCGGAAUUAUUGGGCGUAAAGCGCGCGUAGGCGGUUUCUUAAGUCUGCUGUGAAAGCCCCGGGCUCAACCUGGGAAUUGCAGUGGAUACUGGGGAGCUAGAGUGCGGUAGAGGGUAGUGGAAUUCCCGGUGUAGCGGUGAAAUGCGUAGAGAUCGGGAGGAACACCAGUGGCGAAGGCGGCUACCUGGACCAGCACUGACACUGAGGCACGAAAGCGUGGGGAGCAAACAGG
rnacentral:rRNA from 1 species